rnacentral:tRNA from 1 species
GCAUUGGUGGUGCAAUGGUAGAAUUCUAGCCUUUUAAGAGGGAGACCUGGGUGCAAUUCCCAGCCAAUGGA